UUCGAUUGUGCCAGCAGCCGCGGUAAUACAGAGGGUGCAAGCGUUAAUCGGAUUUACUGAGCGUAAAGCGCGCGUAGGUGGCCAAUUAAGUCAAAUGUGAAAUCCCCGAGCUUAACUUGGGAAUUGCAUUCGAUACUGGUUGGCUAGAGUAUGGGAGAGGAUGGUAGAAUUCCAGGUGUAGCGGUGAAAUGCGUAGAGAUCUGGAGGAAUACCGGUGGCGAAGGCGGCCCCCUGGACAAAGACUGACGCUCAGGUGCGAAAGCGUGGGGAGCAAACAGGAUUAGAUACCCUGGUAGUCCACGCCGUAAACGAUGUCGAUUUGGAGGCUGUGUCCUUGAGAGCGUGGCUUCCGGAGCUAACGCGUUAAAUCGACCCGCCUGGGGAGUACCGGCCGC
rnacentral:rRNA from 1 species